rnacentral:misc_RNA from 1 species
UGAAGAAAAAGCAUCGGCUAACUCCGUGCCAGCAGCCGCGGUAAUACGGAGGAUGCAAGCGUUAUCCGGAAUCAUUGGGCGUAAAGGGUCCGCAGGUGGCGAAUAAAGUCUGCUGUUAAAGACCGGGGCUAAACUCCGGAAAGGCAGUGGAAACUGAUUAGCUAGAGUACGGUAGGGGUAGAGGGAAUUCCCAGUGUAGCGGUGAAAUGCGUAGAUAUUGGGAAGAACACCGGUGGCGAAAGCGCUCUACUAGGCCGAAACUGACACUGAGGGACGAAAGCUAGGGUAGCGAAAGGGAUUAGAUACCCCUGUAGUCUUAGCGGUAAACGAUGGAAACUAGGUGUAGCUUGUAUCGACCCGAGCUGUGCCGAAGCUAACGCGAUAAGUAUCCCGCCUGGGGAGUACGCACGCAAGUGUGAAACUCAAAGGAAUUGACGGGGGCCCGCACAAGCGGUGGAGUAUGUGGUUUAAUUCGAUGCAACGCGAAGAACCUUACCAGGGCUUGACAUGUCGCGAAUCUAGCGGAAACGUUAGAGUGCCUUAGGGAAUGCGAACACAGGUGGUGCAUGGCUGUCGUCAGCUCGUGUCGUGAGAUGUUGGGUUAAGUCCCGCAACGAGCGCAACCCUCGUCCUUAGUUGCCAAUAUUAAGUUAGGCACUCUAGGGAGACUGCCGGGGACAACUCGGAGGAAGGUGGGGAUGACGUCAAGUCAGCAUGCCCCUUACGUCCUGGGCGACACACGUACUACAAUGGUUGGGACAAAGGGCAGCAAACUCGCGAGAGUAAGCGAAUCUCAUCAAACCCAGCCACAGUUCAGAUUGCAGGCUGCAACUCGCCUGCAUGAAGUAGGAAUCGCUAGUAAUCGCAGGUCAGCAUACUGCGGUGAAUUCGUUCCCGGGCCUUGUACACACCGCCCGUCACACCAUGGAAGCUGGCUACGCCCGAAGUCGUUACCCUAACCCGGUUUUGGGAGGGGGAUGCCGAAGGUAGAGCUAGUGACUGGGGUGAAGUCGUAACAAGGUAGCCGUACCGGAAGGUGUGGCUGGAUCACCUCCUUUACAGGGAGACCUAGUCUAAUUACCAAUAGAUAAAAAAGUUGGUAAUUCGCAAGAAUCCUUAGGUCGUGAGGGGAGCAAGAAAAAACUUUCAAACUGUAAUGGGUGAGGGUCAAUGGGCUAUUAGCUCAGGUGGUUAGAGCGCACCCCUGAUAAGGGUGAGGUCCCUGGUUCAAGUCCAGGAUGGCCCACCUAAAAUACACAGGCAUCCUGCCUGUGCCACAAAAAAAGGAAAAAGUUUUGGCAUUGUCUCUUGUAAUCAAGAGCAAGAGAUAAUGCUGGAAUAGAUU